UAACUGUCGACUUCUGGGUCAGACCCGCGUUGAACUCCCAUGCGGACCACUCAGCCGCUCGCUGGAGUUGGGGCCCCGAUGGCGAAGUCGCGGUUCGUAGCGCUCAGGUGAGUGCGUUUUGCAUGGCUCAGCGUAAUAUCGAAAAUGUAAUUGAAAAAUACUUUACAAGCAAAUUUUAUCGAAUUUCGAAUUGCCGUACUUGCUCUUUUCAUAGGACCUUUAGCAGAUGCAGACGUCAAGUUCCUGGACUUUCGGUGUAGAAAAAAUUCACCUAAUAAUUAUUACAUAAGGGGAAAGUAUUACCUUUGGUAUGUUGACAUGCAACCAUUCCCAACAGUUUUGAAACGUUUGAUAGUAUUAGGAAGGGUCCAAAAACAAAGACAAUAGACGCUGUACGAG